AUAGUUCCAGGUAAAAAAACGAACACAGAAAUAAUUUGUGAUGAUCUAGGUUUUAUGUAUCACAAGAACAAAAUCACUGAAAAUAAAAUCUAUUUGGUAUGCUUUAAAAGACGACAAUGUUGUCGGGCAACUGCAGUAAUUUCAUCAAACCGACAAAACAAUAGUAUUGUGUUUUCAAGGGAACAUAAUCACCAAGUUAAACCAUAUGACAUGGAUGUUCCAUUUCUUUGACAACAUAUAACAGAAAAUCUUAACAAAAAUCUGUAAAUUCAUAUGUUCCUCAUGGUAUAUACAUGGAAUCAAUUGUGAAUUUUCCAGAAUCUGCAAAAAAUUAUACCUUCAUUUAGUAUGCUGAAAGAAUGAGGCGAUUGUGACAAGGAAUGUUCCCAGCAAAACCUCAAAAUAUUUUAGAGUUUCACAACUUACUAAACAAUGAUGA